UACAGAGGUCCCAAGCGUUGUUCGGAUUCACUGGGCGUAAAGGGUGCGUAGGUGGCUGGGUAAGUUUGAUGUGAAAUCUCCAAGCUUAACUUGGAAAUGGCAUUGAAUACUAUCUGGCUGGAGGUUUGGAGGGGGGACUGGAAUUCUCGGUGUAGCAGUGAAAUGCGUAGAUAUCGAGAGGAACACCAGUGGCGAAGGCGAGUCCCUGGACAACACCUGACACUGAGGCACGAAAGCUAGGGGAGCAAACAGG
rnacentral:rRNA from 1 species